rnacentral:rRNA from 1 species
CGGCUCAUGGAUCGAUGAAGACCGCAGCUAAAUGCGCGUCAUAAUGUGAACUGCAGGACACAUGAACAUUGAUAAGUUGAACGCAUAUGGCGCAUCGGACGUUUAAUCCCGACCGAUGCACACAUUCUUGAGUGCCUACUAAUUACCAAAGUCUCAUUUAG